GAUGAACGCUGGCGGCGUGCCUAAUACAUGCAAGUCGAGCGAACAGACGAGGAGCUUGCUCCUCUGACGUUAGCGGCGGACGGGUGAGUAACACGUGGAUAACCUACCUAUAAGACUGGGAUAACUUCGGGAAACCGGAGCUAAUACCGGAUAAUAUAUUGAACCGCAUGGUUCAAUAGUGAAAGACGGUUUUGCUGUCACUUAUAGAUGGAUCCGCGCCGCAUUAGCUAGUUGGUAAGGUAACGGCUUACCAAGGCAACGAUGCGUAGCCGACCUGAGAGCGUGAUCGGCCACACUGGAACUGAGACACGGUACAGACUCCUACGGGAGGCAGCAGUAGGGAAUCUUCCGCAAUGGGCGAAAGCCUGACGGAGCAACGCCGCGUGAGUGAUGAAGGUCUGCGGAUCGUAAAACUCUGUUAUUAGGGAAGAACAAAUGUGUAAGUAACUAUGCACGUCUUGACGGUACCUAGUCAGAAAGCCACGGCUAACUACGUG
rnacentral:rRNA from 1 species